UACGUAGGGUGCAAGCGUUAAUCGGAAUUACUGGGCGUAAAGCGUGCGCAGGCGGUUCUAUAAGACAGAUGUGAAAUCCCCGGGCUCAACCUGGGAACUGCAUUUGUGACUGUAGAGCUGGAGUACGGCAGAGGGGGAUGGAAUUCCGCGUGUAGCAGUGAAAUGCGUAGAUAUGCGGAGGAACACCGAUGGCGAAGGCGGCAUCCUGGACCGACAUUGACGCUGAUGAGCGAAAGCUAGGGGAGCAAACGGG
rnacentral:rRNA from 1 species